GUGAAGCAACGGAGUUGGAGCAAGUAGAUAUGUUAUAAUGGUGUCGUCGGAAAGCCAAAAAGGUAACGCACAUCUUGGAAGAGCCUAUAGUUUCCUAACUUCGCUUCUGGUGAAGCAACUGAGUUGGAACAAGCAGAUAUAUUAGGUCUGUUCCUUUGUUUUUUAGUGUUACACUUUUGAGUGUAAGUGUACGAAAUUCUAUGGACAUUUGAGUGUAAAAUGACAGCGGAUGUGACAGCGGCUCAUGACAGCGGACAGUAUUAAACGAAAAUUAUCGGUGUGCCAAUCAAGCAAAGGGACAAGGAACUUCCGAAUAUGGCCUAACUGGGGGCACAUAACAUAACAUAACCUAAUCCUAAUAUUUACAUUUGUAAAGAAUAUCCUGUUUGUUUUUAUUGUCGAUUGUGCAGCGAAAUUGUGUGCAGCAAAUCAAAUAUAAAGUAGUUUAUCGCCUACAGAACUGAAUUAGUCCAUAGCAGUUAUCAGUUUUUCUUUCUUGGGAAGCUUAUACAUGUAACUUGUAUUGUUGUAAAUUGUGGGAGUAGGGCAGACAGGGAAAAGUCUUAUUUUGUACUGUUCCCAAGGCUCCCCAUGCAAUACAUUUAAAUGAAUUAUCCAAACAAAGCCGGGGACAAUGGAUAAAAGCCACAAGAAGAACAGAUAUAAGGGAACUAAAAUUAAAAUAUGAAAAGUAAACAUUUUAUAAGUGGAACAACCACCAGAUAUUUAAAAGGUAUAAAAAGAAGAAACUGCUGGAAUUUCAAAACAAAUGUGUUUGACUAGUAAAGAUUUGGAUAAAUAACAGGAGUUACUUUGGGCUAUAGCUACGUGCAGAUUUAUUUCCUUGUGGCUUCCUAUGUUAAUUCUUAUUAAUUAUACACUUAAAUAUGUUUUUAGUCUCAGGAAGAUUUUAUAUUUGAUUAUUUUUGAAUAAACAUUAUUAUUAUUAUUACCUUAAUUUCCAUUAAAUAAAUUAACUGUAAUCAAUAAAGUAAUCGUUUAAUUGUUAAUAAAUUAUCAAGUAUGA